UUCUUGUUUCAUUCCUGUACUUAGCAAUUUUUACUCUUUCUUACUUACAUUUUUCUUGCAGCUGCUUAUUAAGGCUGAGGGCUUUAAGCGCUGGCGAGCUGACGUCACCAGUCAGCUUCAGCGGCAGGUGCAUAAAGCCACAAAUGCCAGUGACUAUGCUAUGGAGACAGUGGAGAAGGUUCGGCUUGAGAUGCAGGAGACCAUCGAAGCUCAAAGCAAGGAGCUGGCUGUCCUGAGGAGCGACAAGAGGCAAUGCUUGAUCAAAAUCAAUGAACAAGUUCUUGCUAUUGAGACUCUUAAUGCCGAAGCCCUUUCUGCCCAGUCGUUCCUCCAGGAGGCUGAGGCCAAGGUGAAGGAAGCUGCGAGCUUGCGCCAGCAAGUGGCCAGUCUUGAAGAGUUGGUCUCGGCUUCUCAGGCUGAGGUUUCUCGGGUUAAGGCCGAGGCCAAGUUGGCUGCAGAGAACGUAAGAGAGAGAACUCGCCGAGCCUGGGACGCCUGCAUGUAGGACUUCUCCUUCGCCUGGUUUGAGCGGCAAAUUUGCAAGCAGGGUGCAAUCAUUGAGGCCGAGCAACAAGGUCUUCCUCCUCCUGUGUUUGAGGAUUCUGAUGCCAAAAGUGAGGAGGUGAACUCGCCGGCUCAGGAGGAAGGGACUUCAGCUCAGCCAACCUCCAAGCUUGCUGUCGACGGCCCAGAUGGUGUGAGUACGUCGACCUCCGCUCAUUCCGCCGCUGCUCGUCCUGUUGGGUCAUAACUCCACUCCCCUUGUCAAUAAAAAAAUAAGUUUUUAUGGCGCCAAGAGCGUCUGUAAUGAAUAAUUUUAUUUUUGUUUCAACGCCUAUGGCGUUUGUUUGGAUAAUUUUUAUUUUUGUUGAAUUUGGCACCGUUUUGGGCGCAGAUUAGUGGUGAUUCGUCACCUUUUUAUGUGAUUUUCAGUUUUAGACUUUUAAACGCCUUCUCUGUCAUUUUGUCGUGUAUGAUUGGACGUCUACUUUGUGCCCCAGAGCAGGUGUUUGAAUGUCUCUGGACAAGACUCCCACGCCCAAGUUUAUUUUAGUUGAUUGAUUGACGCAAGUCAAUCAAUCAGUAUGAUUUUCGCUGAACUUGGGUAUGGGGAUUGUUGCGCGGCUUCUGAUCGUCGGCUUACUUUUUUCUUCGGCCUGUAGGAGCAAUCCAAUUUGCCUUAGAAAGAUAUUCGUUUUUAAGAAAACGACGAAUUUGUAUGGGGGUUUGCCCCCGUCGUAAAUUGGGCGCGGCAUGUUUGAUGCCGCGGCAUAUGACUGGUUUGGGGAUUAGCCCCCGUCGUCAAUUUGGAGCGGCAUGUUUGUUGCCGCGGCAUAUAGGAGUAAACCUAUUUGCCUUUAGAAAAUAUUCGUUUUUAAGAAAACGAUAAGUUGUAUGGGGGUUUUCCCCCGUCGUAAAUUGGGCGCGGCAUGUUUGAUGCCGCGACAUAUGACUUGUUUGGGGAUUUGCCCCCGUCGUCAAUUUGGAGCGGCAUGUUUGUUGCCGCGGCAUAUAGGAGUAAACUUAUUUGCCUUUAGAAAAAUAUUCGUUUUUAAGAAAACGAUAAGUUGUAUGGGGGUUUGCCCCCGUCGUAAAUUGAGCGCGGCAUGUUUGAUGCCGCGGCAUAUGACUUGUUUGGGGGAUUUGCCCCCGUCGUCAAUUUGGAGCGGCAUGUUUGUUGCCGCGGCAUAUAGGAGUAAACCUAUUUUCCUUUAGAAAAAUAUUCGUUUUUAAGAAAACGAUAAGUUGUAUGGGGGUUUGCCCCCGUCGUAAAUUGGGCGCGGCAUGUUUGACGCCGCGGCAUAUAGGAGUAAUCCUUUUUGCCUUAGAAAAAUAUUCGUUUUUAAGAAAACGAUAAGUUGUAUGGGGUUUGCCCCCGUCGUAAAUUGUGCGCGGCAUGUUUGAUGCCGCGGCAUAUGACUUGUUUGGGGAUUUUCCCCCGUCAUCAAUUUGGAGCGGCAUGUUUGUUUCCGCGGCAUAUAGGAGUAAACCUAUUUGCCUUUAGAAAAAUAUUCAUUUUUAAGAAAACGAUAAGUUGUAUAGGGGUUUGCCUCCGUCGUAAAUUGGGCGCGGCAUGUUUGAUGCUGCGACAUAUGACUGGUUUGGGGAUUUGCCCCCGUCGUCAAUGUGGAGCGGCAUGUUUGUUGCCGCGGCAUAUAGGAAUGAACCUAUUUGCCUUGGAGAAAUAGACGUUCGUGUUUUCGGGAACGAUUUUUACAAUUAAAUAGGUGAUCAGCCUAUGUUUAUGCUAAUCUGGGCCACUCCUUAGGCUUCAAUCAAUUAGGCUUGUAAAUGUUGUGCUAAUCUGGGGCCACUUCUUAGGCCUUUAUUCGAUUAGGCUUUUUGCAUGCAUAUGUUAGGUAAGUUAGUAAGAGUAAUGAAUAGGACGAAACAAGAGUAGUAUUAUUUAUACUUUGUAAGGCGAAUUUAGCCGUUUACAAGGGAGACUACUACUCCAUUAGGACCAUUAGCGGCCGUUGUGUAGACCACAGAUUCUUUCAUAAAAGACAGUCAGAAUACAUCCUAGGAAAAAUAUUUUUUGAGAUUGUCUGCAUUCCAGGUGCGUAGAAUUGGUCAGCCUUGCAUGUCCUGAAUGCGAUAGGUUCCAUCUCUAACCUCGUCAUAGAUCUCAUAGGGUCCCUCCCAAGUGGGCGUUAGUUUACCCUGUUCGUUGGCUCGUCCCACAGAUUCCAUCUUUCGGAGAACAAAGUCUCCUACCUUGAGCACUCUUUUGGAGACUUUCUUGUUGUACUCCCUCGCCAUCCUUAUCUUGUACAGUUGUUGCCUCAAUGCUGCAUUUCCUCUUACUUCAGGUAAAAAGUCAAGGGCCAACUUCAUCAUUUCCCAGUUGGCAUUCUCGUCAUAUAACAUGACCCUUAGUGUAGGUUCACACAUUUCUAUGGGCGACACGGCCUCAGCUCCGUAGGCUAGCAGGAAUGGGGUUUCGCCGGUUGAGUUCUUAGCCGUAGUGCGGAUGGACCAUAAGACGUUUGGCAGCUCAUCGGCCCAUAGACCCUUGGCUUCAUCUAGUUUCCUCUUGAUCCCCUCGGAGAUAAUCUUGUUAAAUGCUUCGACUUGGCCAUUGGCUUGAGGUCGUCCCACAGAGGCAAAGCAGCUGUGUAUGCCGUGGUCUGCUAACCACUCCUUCAGCUUAGGCGUCUCAAACUGAGGCCCAUUAUCAAAGACGAUAGCUUGUGGUAUUCCAAAGCGAGUCAUGAUAUUUUUCCAGAUAAACGCCCUCACAUCACUUGUCUUUAUGUUUUUGAGAGCCUCUGCUUCAACCCACUUGGUGAAGUAAUCAACAGCCACUAUCACAUAGCGCCGGCCUCCAGGGGCCGCUGUAUAUGGCCCUAACAGGUCCAUUCCCCACUUGGCAAACGGAAUGGGACUCAUGAUAGGAGUGAGAGGGUGAGCCGGCCUGUGGAUGAGAUGAGCAAACCGUUGGCACUUGUCACAUUUUUGCACCAUAGCUAGGGCGUCUUCCCUCAAAGUGGGCCAGUAAUAACCAGUUCGCAAGGCUUUCUCUGCCAUGGCUCGUCCUCCAAUGUGGGAGCUACAUAAUCCCUGAUGCAAAUCAUCUAGAAUUUCUUUCCCUUUCUCAGGAGUGACACACCGCAAGAGGGGUCUAGAAAAUGACUUAUUGUACAAAACUCCAUUCUACCAUUCAAACCAAGAACUUUUCUUUUGUAUUUUGGCGGCCAGACUUGAGUCGUCCGGAAGCGAACCGUCCACUUUGUAAGCAAUGAUAGGGUCCAUCCAGGUUGACGACAGAUCCAGAAUAGCUACCAUAGGAGAGUAUAAUUCCUGCUCAAUACUUCUCUUAUCUUUCACUUCCCAGAACACGUGACGCGGGGUAUCACAAGAAGCCGAGCUAGCUAGUUUUGAUAGGGCAUCAGACUGAUUGUUCUCCGUUCUGGGAAUCUGCUUAGCUUCAAAGCUCUUUAGAUGUUCUAUUUCUUGAUGCACAGCUUGCAUAUAUUUGAUCAUGUUAGGGUCUCUUGCCUCAUAGUCCCCAUUCACUUGACUCACAAUGAGCUGUGAGUCAGAGAAGGCAAGUAUUUCUUGAGCUCCAGCAGCUUUGCACAUUUUUAUGCCGGCUAAUAAAGCUUCGUAUUCUGCCUCGUUGUUGGAUGUUUGGAAAUUGAAUUUCAUGGCAUACUCAUACUUGUCUCCUUCAGGAGAUUGACAUAUUAUGCCGGCUCCACACCCGUUCUGGGUUGACGAGCCAUCUACAUAGAUUGUCCAGCGAGUCGCCACAUUCUUUUCAAAAGUCGGCCUCGUCAUUUCUGCAAUGAAAUCAGCAAAUGCUUGUCCCUUGAUAGCUUUUCGAGGCUCAUAUGAGAUAUCAAAUGCAUUCAGCUCAAUUGCCCAUUUCAGCAUUUGUCCAGCAGCGUCUAGCUUAGUAAGGGAUUGUUUCAAAGGUUGGUCUGUGUAUACCACUAGUUUGUGUGCCAGAAAGUAAGGGCGCAGCUUCUUGCUGGCCAUAAACAGUGCAAGUGCAAACUUCUCAAUUGGAGAAUAUCUUAAUUCAACGUUUUGCAGGACAUGGCUCACGAAAUAGACAGGGAGUUGCACUCCCUCCCUUUCAGUUAGCAACACAGCACUCAAGGACCACUCAGAAAUGGCCAGAUACACAUACAAAGUUUCCCCCUGAAGAGGACUGACAAGCCGAGGUAAGGUGUGGAGAUGUUCUUUUAAUCGGACGAAGGCAGUUUCUGCCGCCUCAGUCCAUUCAAAUUUGCUCUUCUUCUUGAUUGUGCCGAAGAAGUAAUGACACUUGUCACCUGCCCUUGAUAAGAACCGCCCCAGGGCCGCUAGACAUCCCGUCAGGCGUUGGACUUCCUUGACUGAUUUUGGCGACGUCAUAUCUAUCACUGCUUGUACUUUAUCAGGAUUGGCCUCGAUUCCCUUUUCAUCAAUAAGGAAUCCCAAGAACUUUCCAGCCGUUACCCCAAAAACACACUUCUUUGGAUUCAACCUCAUCUGAUAUUUUCGGAGCGUCUCAAAAGUUUCUCUUAAGUCAGCCAAGUGUUCUUCACGUUGCUUGCUUUUUACUAUCAUAUCAUCAAUGUAAGCUUCGAUGUUUCGCCCUAACUGACUAGAGAAGACAGUGUUGACUAGACGUUGAAAUGUGGCUAGCGCAUUCUUUAAACCAAACGACAUCACUUUGUAACAGUACAGGCCUUGCUCAGUAACAAAUGACGUUUUUUCCUGGUCAUCUGGCCACAAAGGAAUUUGGUGAAAGCCCGAGUAUGCGUCCAUGAAAGACAUCAAAGCAUGACCAUCCGUUGAAUCUACCAACCGGUCUAUCUUGGGUAGAGGGAAGCUGUCUUUUGGGCAAGCCUUGUUUAAAUCCGUAUAGUCCACACACAUUCUCCAGGAUUUGUUGGGCUUCGGCACCAACACUACAUUUGCCACCCAAUCUGGAUAUUGACUUGGCCGAAUGAACCCAGCCUCCAACAACUUCUGCACUUCUUCAGCUGCAGCUUUGUUUCUUGCUUCCCCAUGAUUUCUCUUCUUCUGACGAACAGGUUUUAAGGACUCAUCUACAUUGAGCUUGUGGACGGCUAUGCUUGGAUCAAUGCCUGGCAUGUCCUCCACAGCAAAAGAAAAAAUGUCCUGGAAGAGAGUGACCAAAUGUGCCCCAAGCUGGUCGUCAGGAGAGACCCCUACUGGCACCGUCCUAUCUGGACGCGCUUCAUCAAGGAUGAUUUCAUAAUGUCCACCAACCGGCUCAGGCCGCUUUGUUUCCAUGUGAGCCGUGGCAAUGGUAAAGGCCUCCUUCUUGACUUUCUCCUCCAUCUCAUCUAGUUUUCUUUUUGAGCUUGCUCUUGCUUCGUCAGUUUUCCCCCAAGCCUCGGGACUUAGCGUAGUGAGAUACCAAUCUCUUGCUAGCUGUUGAUCACCAUGAAUAGUGCCGACCUGACCUUUAUCACAGACAUACUUCAUGAGCAUAAGAUGAGUGACGACCACUGCCUUGGCCUGAUUCAAAGUUGGACGACCCAGUAUGAUAUUGUAAGCAGUGAGGUCCUUUACAAUUAGAAAGCGGACGUUCAAGUUCUUACUUUGAUGCCGGCCUCCAACUCGUAGGGGCAGAGUUAUUAUCCCCUGGGGAUGAAUUAUGCCGCCUUUGAAUCCAAUGAUCGGAUAAUGUAUCUUUUCAAUUGUCUUUGGAUCAUGCUCAAGACGAUUUAGACAAGCUGUGCUGAUAAUGUCCGACGAACUCCCCGUAUCUACUAAGAUACGCCUUACUUUGAGGUUUGCUACCUUCAAUUCAAUAACUAAGGGGUCGUCAUGAGGAGUGGCGAUCUUGCCCCUGUCAGAUUCACAAAUCUCCACUUUAGGGAAAUGGUCAAUUGGAGCUUUUCCAGACAACAUGACCUAUCCCAACCGGCUUGCAUAUUCUUUUUGACCUCUCAUUGUUGGACCUCCAGCGGCUAAACCUCCUGAGAUGACGGCUAUAAUUUCUGGGUCAGUGUCGUUGUCAUCACGUCGGUAUGACGGUGACUUGCUUUUCUUGUAGAAUUUUUUACCACUUCCCCCCGUGCUUGCGCUGAGAUAGGAUUUCAGGAACCCUUUAGCGGCUAAUCCAUCGAGAGCCCUUCGUAGUGAUUUGCAAUCUUUUGUUUCAUGUCCCACAUCACAAUGGAACUUACAGUAAAGCGAGCUGUCCCUAGUUUCCACCGGCGACUUCAUGGGGAACGGUUGAUCAAUCUCAUACCUAUCACUGACAUCUAGAAGUAUCGUAUACAAGUCAGUGUUGUAUUCAAACUUUUCUUUGUCAUAGGGUCAUCCUCUCUUCUGUCCCUGGGAGCGGUCUGCUUGAUAUCCUUUCUUUUCAAUGGCCCAUGUCCCAUUCGGACGACUGGUCUUUUUGUCUGACUUAUCCUUGCGCUGAGGAUGAUCUGUGGCCUCUGUUCCCUUAGACUCUUUGGGGACGGAGCAGAUUUCAGUGGCAUGAAUAAAGGACUCGGCCUCAUCCAGAGCGUCGGCCAUAGUUCUCACACUUUUCUUCACCAAAUAAAACUUAAAGGACCCCUUCUUAAGUCCCCUAAAGAAGUUAUCAAACGCCACCCCGUCAGGUAGGUCUGGAAUCUGCCCUGAUUCCAAAUUGAAACGUCGAACAUAGCUUCGCAAAGAUUCAUCUUUUCCUUGCUGUAUUUGACCCAAAUGCAUGCUCGUCUUUUUCUCUUCUUUAUAAGCCAUAAAUCUUGCUGAAAAUAACAUCUCCAAUUCGGCAUAUGUGUUGAUCGUUCCCGCAGGCAACUUCUCGAACCAUUUGGAGGCAACCCCUUUCAGAGUGGAUCGGAAGUAUUUGCACCAGGUUGCAUCAGUAGUUCCCUGGACAUACAUAUGAUGCCGAUAGGCCAAGAGGUGUGCAUCAGGAUCAGACGUGCCAUCAUAGGCGUCAAUAGCAGGUGGUUUUACUUUAGGCUCCUUGGGAGGAUUCAUGAUAUCAGCACAGAAUGGGGUGGUGUAAUCGAGGAUGAUGCCGGCUACCCCUUGUUGAAUAUGGCAUAUUGGAUCCUGCCUUCUAUUCUGGGAUGUUCUACGCCGCUCGCUGUCCGCGCGGCUGACAUGAGUCCUGGUGAGACGGCGCGAAGGGGCAGCGAGGGGUGAAUCUUGCAUGACAGGAGUGGAACCUGUAUCCGACACCUCAGUUUCUUGGGGCCUAUCUAGCUGAAUGAUCGGUACUCUUCGGAACGGUCCAGGUUCAGGCCGAGAAGUUGGCAGGAUCCGACGCGGAGCUAUGGACUGGAAGGAAGUUCUUGUUCUGUCAAAGCGUCUAUCAUGAUCGUCAUUUCGUGCUUGGUCUUGCCGCCAGACAUUAGACCGAGUGAGUCCAUUAAAGAACGGAAUUCCCGUCCCAUGAGACUGAGAACGGAUAAUCUUGAUCUCAUCUUGUAGGGUGUCCAUCUGUGCUUUGAAUCCAGCCAGGAUAUCUUUGAGCUGCCCAGCAGACACCGGCAAGUCUGGGUUCUCUUCCAUAACUGUGUCGGCAUCAACCCUCAAGUGGCCACCUGGAGGAAACAAAGGUUGACCCGUCUCAUCUUCCACUUGGACCUGCUCGGGUUGUGACUCAGGAGGAGGUUCAGGACGACCGUCCUGCCCUACAGACUGGUGGCUUCUAUCGUCCCUCCCUCGAGGAGGACGAUCACCAUUGAUUACGGUUUCGUCGUUUUCGUUUCGACUGAUGGGCGCGUCUCCGAAGUGCUGGACGUCUACCAUGUUACCUUACCUCCCCACAGACGGCGCCAAAUGUUGUGGGAGUUUUUCCUUUGGAUGAUGACGAGGAGGUAUAAGGUUCCACGUAGUGUCGAGUCCAGUCCACGUCGGCGGCGUACCUACAAAACAAGAAUAUUUCCGAAGGAAUAUUCCCUCCGAUGCUUAAGUAAGACACGGGUUUUUAGGAAGAUGUAAUUAAUGAACAGAAAGCAUUAAAGGGAUUGCAAACCCCAAGAAUGUGUCUGUUCAAGCAUGAGGCAAAGACUCAGUAGUGCUUACUACAACAAAGACCAGGAAGAAGAAUAAGCCUGCAAGUACGCAACACAAGUAUGCGAAGAAGAAAGAUUUCAGUUGGAUUAUGCAGGCAAUUCAUUCAGGAGCAGAUCUGGAGGCUGCUAUUUCAAAUUGCAUGGGAUACAAAACUGAGGGUCAAGGCUUCAUGGUUGGCGUGAAUAUCGAUCCUCUUCCUGGAUUGCCAGCCGCAUUUCCGGAUUUGCUUCAGUUUAUUUCGGUACAUGUGGAAGAUAAGAAUGUGGAGCCACUGCUUGAGGCAUUACUAGAGGCAUGACAGGAACUCCGACCAUUGUUGUUCAAAUCUCACAAUCGGAUGAAGGAUCUAAUAUUUUUGGAUAUUGCUCUUGAUUCUUCUGUGAGGACAGUCAUUGAAAGGGGUUACGAGGAGCUGAAUAACGCUGGACCUGAGGUUUGUCAUUCUACACAUCAGUAAAGACGUUACUUAAGGCCUUUGGACCCUUUGGUGAACUCGUAGAAGGGUUAUGUACAAAGAGAAAUGCCAUACUCUAAUGAGGAGUUAGAAGAAACUCGAGAACAAUGGGCAAAGUAUUUUAAGGACAACUAUUUGAUGGAUGCUGCCGAAUGAGUUUGUUGUCUAUUAAUGUUAUGUUUUAUGUUUUUGUUAUGCGUUGGCUAUGACGUUGGAUGCUACUUGGAGGUAUAUAUGGUUGUUGGAACAUAUAUGUAUGUUAUGUCUUAUAUACAGGUGUUUAUAAAUUCCCGUUUUGUCCGGGUUUCGCAAA